CGACGAACUUAAAAAAAUUGCGGCGACUAAAAAGGCCUAUUUGGAGGAAGUCGAAAAAGAAAAGGAAGAAUGACAGAUGACUGCCAAAAAAGAAGGAUGAAGAGAAUUUACAGGUAAGAUAAUAAUUGAUAUUCCGUGCCUGAACUAAAUACAUCGCGGAAGGGCCUUGGCAGAGGAGUCACAACCACAUGCGGCUCAUGAGGCAAUGGUCGGCGACCACUGUUCUAUCUGAUAAAAUUGAAAUAUACUGGUAAAAUGUAACAUCUUGUAGGGACCCAGAUGUAUUUACUUAAUAUAUUUUACAUUAUGUUUUCA